UACGGGGGGGAGCAAGCGUUGUUCGGAUUUACUGGGCGUAAAGGGCGCGUAGGCGGCCACCGCAAGUCGACUGUGAAAUCUCCGGGCUUAACCCGGAAAGGUCAGCCGAUACUGCGGGGCUAGAGUGCAGAAGGGGCAACUGGAAUUCUCGGUGUAGCGGUGAAAUGCGUAGAUAUCGGGAGGAACACCAGUAGCGAAGGCGGCACUCUGGGCCGGUACUGACGCUGAGGAGCGAAAGCGUGGGGAGCGAACAGG
rnacentral:rRNA from 1 species